rnacentral:lncRNA from 1 species
GAGAGAAGUUUGCUUCCUGGUGGUGAGACUAAUUGGGACUUGAACCCACAGCCGAAACCCUUUGGGACUCGGCACCCACCGUUUAAAUUAAAAUCAGACACCUGCCCCGAGGACUUUGUGAAGUUCAGGUUCUUUAUGUCUCAGCCAAGAAGGAAUUCAGCAAGAGGUCAAGUGACAGGUCAGAAGCAGAUUCAUUGAGAGAGAAACACAGAGUGGGGGCCAUUUCAGAAGGCCAGAGGCCCCGAAUUAUAGGGUGGUGAGUGCCUCUUUUUGCCCAAUGUCCCUCUUCUCUUUUGCGAUGAUUGACAGAAGGAAGUGUGCUUCCCAGAGAUGAGGAGGGAGCCUCUCCUUUCUCCCCCUUCCCUACCACCUGUUUCAGAAUGCAGAUUGGAAAAUGCGUAGCUUGUGUACUCCUAAUUCACUGAGAAUGUUGGUUCUACUGAGUGACCCAGUGACAGGUGAAGAAAGAGCAGUAACUUUGAGCACAGGGCGUGUGCGAAGGGCUGCAGCUGCUUCCUGCAGGCAGGACACCAGAAUGUCGGAGGGACUACGGAUCUAGUUUUUUGGGUCGAUAGAAGGAAAAAACAAUUCUACGGAUGUGUUGGCUACUCAUGCUUACAUCUGUGAGGGGAGCCAGCAUCCUGUCCUACUUUCCCUUCCCAGGAGAAGAGCCAGGUGAUUGGUUCAAGGCCUCCUUACCAGCAGACAGCAGAAGGAUAACUUACCCUGUGAGGAGGAAGCACUCUUCUCCAUAUAUGCCUACUCUUUUUAUUGCCUCCUGCUACCUCUGUACACAAGUGUGGCAAGAUUCUGAAGUUAAGAUGGGUUGCAGCAAACAAGUACAUGCAGUUACGCCUACUUUAGUCUGGGCCUUAUUCGCAGGGUGUCCAGGAUGCUCACACAGCUCUGCUUCUCUUUGUGGGACAUGCCAGGCCUUAGGGGAACCAGCUCUUCUCCCAUGGAGGGAGGUGAACCCUGUUGUCCCCCCCACCCUAGCUCUCAGUUGCCUCUCCCAACUCUGUGACUGUCUGAGCCCCCCCCCCCCCAGAAGUUGAGGCAUCUCUAAAGGGGAUCCCAGAACAAAGAUUCGGGCUGGACUGAAACCAGAUCCUCAGGAAAAGCGUUUGUUUUUGUUGUUGUUUUUGUUUUUAAUCGUAGUUAAUUUACACUGUUAUGCCAAUUUCUACUGUAUAGCAAAGUGACCCUGUCAUACAUUUAUAUACAUUCUUUUUUUAUAUAUAUAUGAUCUUCCACUCUAUCCCAAGAGUCUGGAUACUGUGGUGUAGAGUAGGACCUCACUGCUUAUCCAUUCUAAAUACUUUGCAUCUACUAACCCCAAACCCCCAUCCAUCCCACUCCCCGCCCCCCUUGGCAACUGCAAGUCUGCUCUCCAUGUCUGUGAGUCUGUUUCUGUUCCGUAGAUAGGUUCAUCUGUGCCAUAUUCUAGAUUCCGCACAGAAAUGGUAGCAUAUGGUAUUUGAGGAGGAGCCUGGAAAGUGUGUAAAUGUCUACACUGCUGAGGGGCCCGGGGGCAGGAGCCCCACCAGCCCAACAGAGCUGGAUGGCCUGCAGCUGGCCCCUGGUAGUGUGAAAAAGCCAGGAGUCCAGACCCAAACUUGGGCCUGAUGUAAACACCCCGGAGAGGACCCCCGCCCAGUCCUGAACCCGGGUCCUAAUGCGCAGCCAGGGGCGGAUCUAAACCCGGGGGCAGAGGUAACACCCGGUCCAACCCCUCCUCCCACACAAACCCCGGCCCCCGCAGCCCUAAGUCUCUCAGAGUAAACCCGCCCAGACGACGCCCCCAGACGUAAACGUGGGGUCUGACUCAUAGACCACCAGUCACAAACCCCCAAACGACGCCCCAGACGUAAAGCUGGGGCCUGGGGCGUAAACGCCCCACGCAUCAACCCCCCCCCCAGACGUAAACCCUUCAGACGUAAACGUGGGGUCCGACUCAUAGACGCCCCAGUCGCAAACCCCCAGACGUAGACCCUUCAGACGUAACCCUGGGGUCCGGCUGUAAACCGCCCCAGCCGUAAACCCUUCAGACGUAAAACUGGGGUUCCGUCGUAAAACUCCCCAGCCGUAAAUCUCCAGGCGUAAACGGCAGACGUGAACCGGUUCCGGACAUAACCGGACCCCAGACCCGGUGGAGCCCCAGACCCGGCUCCAGAGCCUGCGUAGCAGACACGCCUGCAGGCCUGGCGCCCAGCUCACCGUGUGCCUCGGACUCCAGGCCCGGCCCUCAGGCGACUGCACCCGCUGAGGAGCCCGUGGAAGGACGGCCGGCCUCAGGCCACUCCUGACCCCUGAGGAGCCCGUGACAGGACGGCCGGCCUCAGGCCACCCUGCGACCCCAGGAGCCCGUGACAGGACGGCCGGCCUCAGGCCACUCUUGACCCCUGAGGAGCCCGUGACAGGACGGCCGACCUCAGGCCGCUGCUGACCCCUGAGGAGCCCGUGGCAGGACGGCCGACCUCAGGCCACCCUGCGACCCCAGGAGCCCAAAUACGCGCAUGAAUAAAUGAAAGAAAAAGAGGACACACCCGUUAACUGCUAUUCCAGCACAAUUUGUUGAAAAUACCAUCUUUCCCUAUUGAGUUAAUUGAAGACUUUUGUCAGAAACCUGUUGGCCGCUAAAACCUCCAAUAAAAUGUUGAGUAGAAGUGCUGAGAGCAGCUUUCCUUGACUUGUUCCGAUCAUAUGCGGGAAAUAAUUCCAUUCUGACAGUAAAUAUGAUGUUAGCUGUAGAUUUUCCUUAGAUGUCGCUGGCCAUAUUGAGAGGUUCCAUUUUGUUCCUAGUUUCUUGAUUGUAUUUAUUAUAGAUGGGUGUUAAGUUUUAUCACAUGCUUUUUUGCAUCUGUUGAGCUUACCAUAUGAUGUUUAUCUUUUAUUCUGUCAGUAUGGUGGAUUACAUUGGUUUAUUUUUCACUGAUAAACCCACAUUGCAUCCUUGGGAUUAAUCCCAGUUGGUCAUGAUGUAUUGUCCUUUUUACAUAUCGAUGGAUUUAAUUUGCAAAUAUUUUAUGUUCAUGAGGACUAUCUAUGGUUUUCUCUUCUUUUCUUAUCAUCAUCUGGUUUCGUAUUGAUAAUACUGGAUUCAUAAGAUGGAUUGAGAUAUAAUCCCCUUUAGGAAAUAAUUUUUAAAGAGUUUGCAUAGAAUUGAUAUUAUUUCUUCUCAGUUUUCAUGGCACUUACUGUUAAAUCAUCUGAGCUUGGGAUAUUUUUGUAGACAGUUUUUAAUUACAAGUCCAUUUUCCUUAAUGGACUUAUAGAACUAGUCAUAUUUUCUAUUUCUUCUUGAGUCAUUUUAUUAAGUAACUUGUGUGUUUCAGGGAAUUUCACCUAAAUUGUUGAAUGUAUGGGUAUAAAGUUUUCAUACUAUUUCUUUGUACUUGUUAGUGUAUUUAAAUCAUUAUAUUGUAAUUUGCUACAGAUCGCUAACUUCUUGUCGAAGGGAAAGGAUGAAUAUACUUCUAGAUUCAGACUUAAAGGAAAUUAACAAUUAAAAGUCACUUAAAAGUUUU